AAUGAACGUUGGCGGCGUGGAUUAGGCAUGCAAGUCGAGCGCUCAUAGCAAUAUGGGAGCGGCGAACGGCGUAGUAAUAUGUAGGAACGUACCCUCGGGUCGGGGAUAGCCAUGGGAAACUGUGGGUAAUACCCGAUAAUCUCUGCGGAGCAAAGGUGUGAUUCCGCCUGAGGAGCGGCCUACACGAUAUUAGCUAGUUGGUAGGGUAAUGGCCUACCAAGGCUACGAUGUCUAGGGGGGUGUGAGAGCAUGGCCCCCCACGACCGGAACUGAGAUACUGUCCGGACACCUACGGGUGGCUGCAGUCGAGAAUCUUCCGCAAUGGACGAAAGUCUGACGGAGCGACGCCGCGUGCGGGAUGAAGGCCCUUGGGUUGUAAACCGCUGUCAGAGGGGAUGAAAUCUUCGGAGGUGCUCCUCCAAAGUUGACAGAGCCUCAAAGGAAGCACGGGCUAAGUACGUG
rnacentral:rRNA from 1 species